UACGGCCAGAUCACGUUGAAACAUUGGUUCCCGUUCGAUCACCGAAUUUAAACAACGUCGGGCCUAGUCACUACCUAAAUCGGUGACCGCUUAGGAACUCCAGGGGCUGUAUU